CAGAGGCGGCGGAGAGCUUCGCCGGGCGGGCUCCUCUAGGCGCGGCCCCGUGAGGUGGCCCGGCUCCCGCCUGGCCGACUGCCGCCUCCCCUGGCGCCAUCCCCCGAGCAGCUGUGCAGGGCCCAGCUGCUGACAAAGGCCGCCCUGUAUACACAUCCUGGGUUUGGCCGGGGCUUGGACAGUCCAAGCCACCGCUUGUUAGGCCUCCAGCCUCCCAGUGGUCGUAGCUACACAAAGGUAAUCUUGUUACUCUACCGUGAGGUGGGGCCGCUGAUAGCCUGGCCAGGUCAAGAAGCCUCAAAGACCGUGGAAAGCGGGUAGCACGGCUCCCCCAGCGGACGGCUUUCUUGCAUUUUGGUUCCUUCCUGGCUUAUCUUCUAUAUUUCCUGUUUUAGACCUGGAACCAGCCAUUCCUCCAAGGAGUUCUGGAUUCUUUCAAUGGGGAAUGAACUUGUAUCACUACGGACGCCUGGGUGGCUCAGCGGUUGAACGUCUGCCUUAUGGCUCAGGGCGUGAUCCUGGAGUCCCUGGAUCGAGUCCCACAUCAGGCUCCCUUCAUGGAGCCUGCUUCUCCCUCUGCCUAUGUACCUGCCUCUCUCUCUCUUUG